UUGACCUCGGAUCAAGAGGGAUACC
rnacentral:rRNA from 1 species